rnacentral:misc_RNA from 1 species
GUUUCGAUCCAAUUCGGAUCCAUGAACAACAGUUCAUGUCCAUGACUGGUUUUGAUUCUAAGUUUGACUGGAUCAAUUCAUUGUAGCCGGAUCUACCCUUUGUAAAUUAUUUGUCAUUUCCUCCAAUCAGAUGAAUUGCCCAUGGAUUUGAAAGUUUGAAUUAGGCCCAUGAUCGACUCAGAUUAGGAGACGGUGUAUGAAUCAUAAUUAUGACACCGGAAUUUUCG